CCUACGGGUGGCUGCAGUGGGGAAUAUUGGGCAAUGGGCGCAAGCCUGACCCAGCAACGCCGCGUGAGGGAAGAAGGCUUUCGGGUUGUAAACUUCUUUUCUGGGGGACGAACAAAUGACGGUACCCCAGGAAUAAGCCACGGCUAACUACGUGCCAGAAGCCGCGGUAAUACGUAGGUGGCAAGCGUUAUCCGGAUUUAUUGGGUGUAAAGGGCGUGUAGGCGGGAAUGCAAGUCAGAUGUGAAAGCUAUGGGCGCAACCCAUAGCCUGCAUUUGAAACUGUAUUUCUUGAGUGCUGGAGAGGCAAUGGGAAUUCCGGGUGUAGCGGUGAAAUGCGUAGAGAUACGGAGGAACACCAGUGGCGAAGGCGGAUUGCUGGACAGUAACUGACGCUGAGGCGCGAAAGCGUGGGGAGCAAACAGGAUUAGAUACCCUUGUAGUC
rnacentral:rRNA from 1 species